ensembl:snoRNA SNORA71 Small nucleolar RNA SNORA71
CCCUGGUCAUUGAUACUGCAGGGAGAGGAUGCCGAAAGCCUUUCCCCGUGUUUGGAGGAUCCACACCUGUCCUUGCCAAACCCUGGUGCUUUCCCACA